GACGAAGGGGGCUAGCGUUGUUCGGAAUUCCUGGGCGUAAAGCGCGUGUAGGCGGUUGCCAAAGUCGGGUGUGAAAGCCUUGAGCUCAACUCAAGAAUUGCACUCGAUACUUGGUGACUAGAGGACCGGAGAGGAUAGUGGAAUUCCCAGUGUAGUGGUGAAAUACGUAGAGAUUGGGAAGAACACCAGUGGCGAAGGCGGCUAUCUGGACGGUUUCUGACGCUAAGACGCGAAAGCGUGGGGAGCAAACAGG
rnacentral:rRNA from 1 species